UUGCUUUUCUCCCAGACAGAUACAGAUGGAGGCAGUAGCAUGGUAACACCUCAAAAUCAAGCAUCCAGCAGCUGAAUCCGAAAAACACAAGGAACAAGCUGCCGGUGAAGCUGACUUGACUUUCACUUUAGGCUCAGCUCGGGCUACGAGCAUCUUGCAGUAAGACACCAGGCAGGGCUGGAAUCAUGCAGUUGCAACAAAGAAGAUAAGCUGUGGAAGCUAGGAUUUCAGAAAAUUUAGAUUUAAGGACAAGUGCCAAUCAAGGAUAAAGCUGAAACUGCAGAGAGCCCGGCAUUCAGAUUUCCAUUCUGCUGUAAAUUUAAUGCAAAUCUUCAGUUCAAGUGCACAGAAUUUGUUUAAAAACCCUGAAGAUGCUUUCAUGAUCUACACAUCUGUCAUUGCUGUUGCUUAUCACCGUUCCUGGGAAUCUGGCACUUCAUCAGCCGUCUUUCUUUCCAUGUAAUGAACACUGUUCUCCCUGACUCAGGUGUCAUCACCAUGAGAAGGACAUACCACCCCAGAAUAAGGAGAGGCAAAUGGAUUAGACUUGAAAUGAACCCAGAGCCUGGAUUCAAGCACAGCCAAACCCAGCUUGGAUCUCAUAAUUCCCAGUCCUGUGCAGAAGAACCGUGAGACCUACAAUAUAUUUCCAUACCUUCUUUCAAGAAAUAAAUGCUCAAUUUUGUAAGACACUGAGGUUGAAGGUUGUUUGCUACACCACAUUUUGGUGAAAAUAGUUGACAGUGACACCAACCAAAUCAAGAAUAAUCCCACAACACAGAGCUAGAGUACAUGCAACUUCGGCAUCUACUAGUAUUCACUAAGUGCCAACAUUGUGCUGGCAUCUUUGCACGUUC
rnacentral:lncRNA from 1 species